UACGUAGGCAGCAAGCGUUGUUCGGAAUUACUGGGCGUAAAGGGUGCGUAGGCGGCUUUUUAAGUUUGGUGUGAAAUCUCCUGGCUCAACUGGGAGGGUGCGCCGAAUACUGAGAAGCUAGAGUGUGGGAGAGGGAAGUGGAAUUUCCGGUGUAGCGGUGAAAUGACGUAGAUAUCGGAAGGAACAUCAGUGGCGGAAAGCGACUUCCUGGACCAGUACCGACGUUCAGGCACGAAAGCGUGGGGGAGCAAACAGG
rnacentral:rRNA from 1 species